UCUAUCUAAAGAGCCAUAGAUGCUCAGUUGUUGGGUAUUAGCUGAUGGGACCAUUCAAUUAGGGCUUCCCCAUUGGAGGGUGUCCUGGAUAGUGACCAUAAGGUGGCUCAUACGUUGGAGGCUUCUUUGGAGUCUCAUAGACCGGUGGUUUGGGUUCAGGUUUCUCUCUCUUUGGUGGUGUAUAGACUGGUGGCUUUGGUGGCUUAGGCUCAUACGUUGGUGGCUUCUUUGGAGUCUCAUAGACGGGUGGUUUGGGUUCAGGCUUCUCUUUCUUUGGUGGUGUGUAAACCGGUGGCUUUGGUGGUUUAGGCUCAUACGUCGGUGGCUUCUUUGGAUGCUCAUAGACAGGUGGUUUGGGCUCAGGUUUCUCUUUCUUUGGUGGUUCAUAGACAGGUGGUUUGGGUUCAGGCUUCUCUUUCUUUGGUGGUUCAUAGACCGGGGGCUUAGGCUCGGGUUUCUCUUUCUUUGGUGGCUCGUAAGUAGGUGGUGAUU